rnacentral:rRNA from 1 species
UACGGAGGGUGCAAGCGUUGCUCGGAAUCACUGGGCGUAAAGCGUACGCAGGCGGCACGUUAAGUCAGGUGUGAAAGCCCGGGGCUCAACCCCGGAACUGCACUUGAAACUGGCGAGCUUGAAUACGGGAGAGGGAAGCGGAAUUCCUGGUGUAGAGGUGAAAUUCGUAGAUAUCAGGAGGAACAUCAGUGGCGAAGGCGGCUUCCUGGCCCGAUAUUGACGCUCAUGUACGAAAGCGUGGGUAGCAAACAGG